rnacentral:rRNA from 1 species
AACGAACGCUGGCGGCAUGCCUAACACAUGCAAGUCGAACGAGAGCAUCGGGACUAGUGGCGCAAGGGAGCGUAACGCGUGGGGACCUGCCCUUAGGGUCAGAAUAACUAUCCGAAAGGGGUACUAAUACGGGAUAAGGUCUUCUGACCGAAAAUUUAUCGCAUUCAGAGGGGCCCGGGUUGGAGUAGCUAGUUGGUAGGGUAACAGCCUACCAAGGCGACGAGGCAUAGCUUGCCUGAGGGGAGGAUCAGCCACACUGGGACUGAGACACGGCCCAGACACUUGCACGAGGAAGCAGCACAGACUCUUCCGCAAGGGACGAGUGCCUAACGGUGGAACGCCGCGUAAUUGAUGAACCACCACUGACCGUUAAAUUAUGUUAGUAGUGAGGUUCAUAUGUGUAAGUACCUGGGAUCAUAUUGACAGUACCGGGACAAAAAGCCACGGCUAACUACGUG